rnacentral:rRNA from 1 species
UGGUGGAGUGAUUUGUCUGGUUUAUUCCGUUAACGAACGAGACCUCGACCUGCUUAAUAGUACCACUCGGCGCUCGCGUCGGGUUUGGCGACUUCUAAGAGGGACUAUCGGUUACUAGCCGGUGGAAGUUCGAGGCAAUAACA